UACGGAGGGUGCAAGCGUUAUCCGGAUUCAUUGGGUUUAAAGGGUGCGUAGGCGGACUUGUAAGUCAGUGGUGAAAUCUCUUUGCUUAACAAAGAAACUGCCAUUGAUACUGCAGGUCUAGAGUAUAGAUGACGUUGGCGGAAUAUGACAUGUAGUGGUGAAAUACUUAGAUAUGUCAUAGAACACCGAUUGCGAAGGCAGCUAACGAAACUAUAACUGACGCUGAGGCACGAAAGUGCGGGGAUCAAACAGG
rnacentral:rRNA from 1 species